rnacentral:snRNA from 1 species
GCCUGCACUGCAGGCAUUUGGUCAUAUUGUAAAACUACAGAGAGGAUUAGCAUUGUUCCCUUCACCAAGGUUGACAUGCGAAUUAAAGCGAGCUUCAAACUUUUU